AAACGUUAAACAAUAUCCUGAAAUUCAUUACAUGACGUCACAAAGUAUAUUGGUUUUUAGAUAUUCUAAAAAUAACCGUGCAAUAUGCUUUUUGCAGGUCAAUAUGCGUUUUGCUAUCCGCCGUUUUCUCUCUACCUUCGAAAAUAUAGUUUAACAUGUGACUAUCCCUAAACGAAUCAAAUUUGUUAAAAUAUACGAAUUAAUAAUAUACUGUGAUAUAAUUGUUUCUUAAGGCAUUAUUUUUUAUUUAGUAUUGUCUUCCAUUACCAAAAUUACAAAGAUGUCCUUUAUUAUAAACAAUGUUUUGUUGUGUUGGAGUAGAAGAGAAUGUAGAAAACAUU
rnacentral:lncRNA from 1 species